UGGGAAUGUAACGUAUCCCUACAUAAAGGAAC
rnacentral:piRNA from 1 species